AUUGAACGCUGGCGGCAGGCCUAACACAUGCAAGUCGAGCGGCAGCGGGAAAGUAGCUUGCUACUUUUGCCGGCGAGCGGCGGACGGGUGAGUAAUGCCUGGGAAAUUGCCCAGUCGAGGGGGAUAACAGUUGGAAACGACUGCUAAUACCGCAUACGCCCUACGGGGGAAAGCAGGGGACCUUCGGGCCUUGCGCGAUUGGAUAUGCCCAGGUGGGAUUGGCUAGUUGGUGAGGUAAUGGCUCACCAAGGCGACGAACCCUAGCUGGUCGGAGAGGAUGAUCAGCCACACUGGAACUGAGACACGGUCCAGACUCCUACGGGAGGCAGGAGUGGGGAAUAUUGCACAAUGGGGGAAACCCUGAUGCAGCCAUGCCGCGUGUGUGAAGAAGGCCUUCGGGUUGUAAAGCACUUUCAGCGAGGAGGAAAGGUUGAUGCCUAAUACGUAUCAACUGUGACGUUACUCGCAGAAGAAGCACCGGCUAACUCCGUGCCAGCCGCCGCCGUAA
rnacentral:rRNA from 1 species